rnacentral:lncRNA from 1 species
UUAGUCCUGACGCCUGCUCAACAAACUCUUAACAACUCACCGAAUCUACAAGAACGCUUCCUUAACUGAGCCAUGUUGCGUAUCGAGCCACAUUGCGUAUGUAAUGAGCAGUAGGAACGAGAUACGGAUAUUUACGUAGCGGAAAUGAUUUCACAGUUUGAAUCGGCUAGUUGGUUCUUGACAACCAAAUGUCCGCCUACACGGAACUAACCGGAG